rfam:Felis catus isolate Cinnamon breed Abyssinian chromosome D4, whole genome shotgun sequence.
GCCUGGGUGGCUCAGUCGGUCGAGCAUCCGACUUCAGCUCAGGUCAUAAUCUCACUGUCCGUGAGUUCGAGCCCCACAUCGGGCU